rnacentral:lncRNA from 1 species
CUGGGCAGACUAUGAGUGCAUCGGUCCGCAAUGUUCGUAUACCGUGCAAAGGAGUCCCUUGCUUUGUACUCAGCCCGAUGUGCCGACAUGCUCAGUGCAGCAAACAGUUGGUCUCUGACAGCAGCUGAGGAUUAAGGAAAGGAAGAGGAAGGGUUCUGCCAUACGCAGGCUGGACCUUGAACUCCGAGCCUAAGAGCCGGACGUUCUCCCGCAGGUGAGGUGGAGCUCUGGCCACGUGGGGGUUGGAGUAUGCUCUGCCUGGACACGGGGACGCCGCCUCUCCUUCCCUGGGAUUUCCCAUCUAUGCUGUUGGCUGAUACAGCCGGAAUGAGGAAACUUCUAGGCCCAGUCUGGAAGGAAAGGGUGAGACAUGAUGCUGGGAAACGCUCCCAUUUGGGGGAGGGGCGUUAUGCCCCGCCCCCUCCUUUUGGAGGUCCCCUUACAGAGGAGAGGUGGAGGAUGGCCAUGAAGCCACAGGUAUGUGGUAAUUAUGAAUUGCCAGAGGCGGAAGGGAGGGGUUGAGAGAGCGGCAGCUUUGGUCAGGGAGGCUGAGGGGCCUCUGAGGAGGGGACACUUGAACUUAGAUCAAGGAGGAGAAGGUAGGGAGCGGGGGGAAGGGCUCUCUGAGCAGAAGGAACAGUGCAAAGGCCCUGAGGUAGGCCUAAAUCUGUUGUGAUAGAGGCUGCGGGGCGAGGCCACAGAGGGCCUGCUGGGCUUUGGGGGAGGGGGCGUGAGGGAUGGGAUCUGAGCCUUGUUUCAAAGCCCCCCCAUGGCGGCCCUGGGGCUGGGGCACUGAGACACCAGCGAGAAACCCCCAUCACACGGCCUGGGCCUUGGAAAACCUCUGGUCCAUCCUACAGACAAAGCAGACUGGCAUUGAACUGCUGUGGGCCAAGGCCAGAAAGCCCACAGGCCUGGGCAGGGGACUUCCCAGGACACAUGGGCCUGCGGAUCAAGUGGAAAUGUCUUGCCCGACCUUCUAAACCACCGGGGUUGGCAGGUCCUGAGGAUUAUAUGGCAGCAGGAGUCCCCCUCCUGGGGAUCAGGUAUGGCAAAGGAAUCUGGGCCAACUCCAGAAAGUCAGCAUGUGGGGAACAUGGCCCUGUGUUCCUGGCGAUGCCCCUCAGCAUCCAGAGGGGAUAGACAUGGCCAGACACGAAAUGCCCUCAGCCCAUGGCGUCAGGACUGGCUUAGAAAAAAGGGGUAUUUGAGAUGGGGCUUUCUUAUUAUAAUUUUUUUUAACGUUUAUUUAUUUUUGAGAGGAGGGGGUGCAGAGAGAGAGAGAGGCAGACACAGAAUCCGAAGCAGGCUCCGGGCUCCGAGCUGUCAGCGCAGAGCCCGACGCGGGGCUCGGACUCACGAACCGUGAGAUCGUGACCUGAGCCGAAGUCAGAUGCCCAACCCGCUGAGCCACCCAGGCGAGAUGGGGUUUUGAAGGAUGAGUAGAAGUUUGCCGGCAAGUGAAAAGCCUCUCAGGAACAUGGCGUGAGGAGGCCCCAGUUUGGCCCCCUCUGGCCCCCGUGGCUGAGUGACUCCAGACCGUCACUGACCCUUAGGUGUUUCCCCCACUGGCUAGCUCCCGCCAGCACUCCCCGGUCCCCACUGCGGAUAGACACCGAUGCCCGCCACCUAGACCCAGACCCACAAAUGCACCCACCAGCCCGCGUUUGCUUCCCGUAUUGGCCGACGUGUGCAAACCCACAUUCAAGCACACGCACCAUGGGCACGUGCUUCCGGGUAACUCCACGGACAAAGCUGACACGCAGACACGUGUGCACGCGUUGGUGGGCUUCACUCAUCUCCAGGCCGCCUGCAAACACGCAUGUGCGUGCACGGGCCCCCCCCCCCGCCUCCCCCCUCCCUCCCCCCCAGCACGCGUCAUGAGGAGGCUCAGGAAGCGCUGCUGGGGGGCUCCCUUGAGAGCCAGCUUCCUGUUUUCAAAGAGGCCAGGAACUGCUGAGGGAAUGUGUUGGACGGCCCAGCCCCUCCUCCACUGGCUUAGCACACCCCAUCCGGUCCCGCAGACCUGGGGUUGCUUCUGUGCCGGGUACCGACCCUGUCCUACCGCGAAGUCAGGUUCCAGAUGACGAAACUGAGGCCCAGAGACGUGCCGUCACCAUCCCAGGGUCGCACGGGAAGGCAGAGGCCCCCACCUGCCUCCCCUUGGAGGGCCAUGCCCAGGACUGGGGGCUCACAGACGGGGAGACGGGAAGUGCCCCCUCCUGCCUGGGACCGCGGUGCUGUUCCCAGGCCCCCCGGGGCCACCCUGACCCGCCCCUGGGCUCUCUGGCCCCCCCGAAUCCCAUUCUCCCAUUCACGGCCCACCCAUCUCACUCAUCUGCGUCCCCAGACAAGGGCCACCUACACCACAAACGUUAAUGGAACGUCAGCUGCCAACAAGGCUGCCGGCAAAGAGGUGGUCUCACACUUAGGGGGCUCGUGGGGGUGCCUAGGAGCAAAUAAACACAGCCGCGGCUGCCCUCUCUUGGAAUGCCCUUCUCUAGCUCCCUGGUGAACUCCUCUUCACCCAUCAAAACCCCAACUCCAGUGGCCUCUCCUCCUGGGAGCCCUCCCGGGACCCUCCAGGGAAGGGGUGUCUGUGGAUUCCAUCACAAUGGCCUUGGAACUCUCUGUUCUGCCCCUCUUUAUUAUCACCUCCAGGCCUAUCAGCAACUCUGGGAACCCCCCAAAGUCCCAGCACGAUUGGCCCAGUCAGAGUCACAUGCCUAUUCCUGAACCAAUCCCUGAGUCUGUGGUCACAAAAGGCUCUAAUUGGCCGGACCUGGUCGUAUGUCCACAUCUGGAGCCAUGAAGUGGACCAGGCUCCUUCUGUCCUCCAAAAGGAGAGCAGGAAGAGGGGACGCCCCCCCAAAACCUUUUACCAAGGACUUCGGGGGCCUCUGCCUGCCCCAUCAUGGCUGGAGGGGCUUGGGCAAGUCAUUUGAGCCCUGUGCCUCAGUUUCCCCACCUGGGAAUCAGGCUCAGCAGAGUGGGGGUAUUGGAGCCCCGGGAACCCAUUGAGGCAUGCCCCCUCCCCUCCCCCACCCCGCUCAGCAGGCCCCAUUGGCCCCAUCCACCCCCCAAUCCUUUAUCGAUGUUUUCUGUAAGUCCCCCCAACCCCCCGGAGGGGGUCCCUUUGGGCACUGAUGGCUGCCAGCUGAUUCACUGCUUCCUCCUGGGCCUCUCGCCCAGCCUGAUGCUUUCUGGGGACUUUCCUGGCCUUCCUCGAACACCCGAAAUAAGGUGGGGGAAGCGAGGGCAGAGGGAACACCCUGCAAGCCCUCAACCAGAGCCGGGGGCGCCCGGCGUGGUCAAUGCUGUUGGACCUUACGUGUGUGUGCACGCAGGCGCACGCGGGUCUGUGUCCGUGGAGGUCUAGGCUGUGUGUGCCCGAGUUCACCGGCCCAUUUCUGGGUCUCUGUAUGUGUGUGUGCAUGCGUUUCUGCGUGUGUGUGUGUGUGUGUGUGUGUGUGUGUGAGAUAGCUGCCCCCGCAUGGAGCCCAGUGGGUCUAAAAAACAGACUCAGCCCCUCACUGGAAAAGGUGCAUCUGGGGGAGGGAAGUCGCCAGGAGCAGCUGGGAGGGCAGAGAUAUUGCUGGUGUGCGGGGGGCGCAGGGGGCGCCAAGGUCAGGAGGAGGCAGGGUCUGGGGUAGGUCAGCCAGGUUGAAGGGACGGGAGCUGUGUGUGGGCGCCUGGGUGGCUAAGCUAGAGCUGAACUUUGGGAUGAAAUGGCAACAAUUCUAAAGCAUUCAUUGAGCACCUAGUGUGUGCCCGGGAGGGCUCUGGGGUAACAGACACCACACCAACGAACAAGUAAAUAUAUAACUUUGAGGAAGGGGGAAGAUCAGGAAGCGAAAGGCAUCAGGACAGGAGUCAGGGAAUUGAGGGGUGUUCUGACCCAGAGACAGGGAGGGCAUCCUGAGGCGGUGACUUGUGAUCUGAAGCCUGCUGGGGAGAAGGUCCUGGGCAUAUCCGGGGAGAGGGAACUCCAGGGGGAAGGCACAGCAGGUGCAAAGCCCCUGAGGUAGGGAUGAGCUGGCAGAGGGGCCUCAUUCAUGAAGAUCUAAGUCCCAAGCAAGGAGGGGAGGCAUCAGGGGGCAGCACUGGUGGGGAGCAAGGCCACCAGGACGGGCUGUCCUGUAACUGGAGCCCGACAGGAACCCUCCACCCCCACCCCACCCACCCCCAGUGCUCCCUGCUCGGGACAGAAUGUGCUGGGAGGAGAGGCCAGAGGCGGCUGUGCCUGGUGGCUGCAGUUAGGCAGCUGGAGGGUUCCUGAACAGCGGCCCAGCCGGGCCCCCUGCCAGCGAGGGUGGAAAACAAGCAGAGGGCGCCCUGCCUGUCACCCCCAGGGCCCCGGGGGCCUGGCCAAGCCAGGAAAGGAGACGGAGAUGGUGAAAGAAACAGAGACUGAGACAGAGAGAUGAAAAACAAGAGAGACGGUGAGUGAAAGACAGAGACAAAGACAGAGAUAGAGAGAGAGAGAGAGAUGCAGAGAUGGUGAGCCAGACAGGGGGAAACAGAGACAAUGACAGACUGAAACAGAGAGACAGUGAGAGACUCAGAGACUGAGACAGAGAGAUGGUGACCAUAAGAGAUGGUGAGCCAGGGACAAGAGACAGCAAGUGAUAGGAGUGAGAGAAACAGAGAUGCAGAGACGGUGAACCAGAGACAGAGAGGGGGUGGGGGUGGGGGACAAAGACGAGAGACUUACAGAAAGUGAGCAAAAGAGACAGUGAAAAAACAUGGGAGAGGCAGAGGCCCUCAAAGCUUCAAAUAAAUGAGUAUCUAAAUCAAAAUUUCAGAGAGGGAUGAGGGCUAUGAAGGCAACAGCACAGGGAGAUGGGAGAGGGAGUAACAGGGAGUGUCACCUUUAACCAACAGGUUGGGGCGUUCUUGGAAAAAUGUGGUUAGGAGGUGAAGAAGAGCCAGCCACAGAGAAGAAGAGCCUUUCAGCAGAGGGAACCACAUGUGCAAAGGUCCUGAGGUGGAAACCAGCUUGGAUUAUGUGAAUAGCAGUCAGGGAUCCGGCGGGGGGGGGGGGGGGGGGGGGGGGGGGGGGGGGGGGGCUGGAAGGAGGGGUGGGUGAGAGGGGCCUAGGGAAGGGUGGGAUUUUAUCUCGGCCACCCCCCUCUAUGCCCUAUGGGCCUCACUCUGUGUUCAGGGGGUUCCCUGAAUUCUGGAUGACCCAAGCCAGCUCCAUUCUGAUUUUCAUUUAUCUGAACCGGAUAAUCCACCUCUUAAGGGAUCAGGUUCCAGACAGUUGCAGAUGCAGAAGUCCCGGGGACGCGUGAUGGCUUGUCCUCCCAAGCCUGCCAGGGGAAACUUUUGUAACAAACACCUUACUCUUCUGUUUGGGGACAGAGUUCUGGAGACUGGGAUCUUGGGUCUUGCACACCAGGGCGACAGGGGAGCUCACCCCCUCCUGAGGCUAUUUUGGAGGUCUGGGUGACCUGGUCUGUGCUGUGGGUACAUCUCCCCUCUGCUGGGCCCAAAGGAACCCCAAAUCUGACGGGUUCAAAGCUGGAUGCCAGGUCAGCUGCUGAGGGCAGACGCCGCUGGACAGGGAGGGCUGGGCAAAACCCGGGGCCGGAAGUCGGUGGGGAUCAGGACCCAAAUUCACACCACGGGUGGGAGACAACUGAGGCUGUGGCAGGGAGGUGUCCCAAGAGUCUCGGGUGAGGAAACUGGCUCAGUGUCACGUGACUUGCCCUCGCCCGUAGGUCACUCAGAAAGCUAAGCCUGAACCCACACCUGCCAGGGUCCAGCCCCUGGGUGCCCUCGUCCUCCUCCCUGUUCCUCAGCCCCGCCAAUGGUCACCCCAGACUGCCAGUUAAUUCUCACUGCCUGGGGCAAAUGGGUGAACACAGCCGGGACUAUUAAAACGGGGUUCUAAUUGGGCCCAGCCCUGUGGGGGCGGGGCCUCGGGUCGGGGGCGGGGCCUGAGCGCCGGCUCGGCUGGGAGCCCCUCCGGGAGCCCACCUGUGAGCCUGGCGGUUCCGAGUGGGGACUCCGGACCCUGCACGAGUCACCUCACUCUGUUGGACUCCCUUUCCCUACCCGCAGCUCCAGAAGAAUGACGACCUCCAUGCCAACAAAUCCGUGCACACGCGUGCCCAAAGCAGCCCUGUUCGCCGUUGCCCAAAUGUCUAUCGAGGAGUGAAGGGAGAAUCCAAAUGUAGUCCAUCCACGCUAAAGAAUAUUAUUUGGCCACAAAAAGUUACGAAACGUUGACACACGCUGCCACGUGGGUGAAAACGUGGACGAAAACGUGGACGUUUAUGCUGAGUGCAAGCCGGGCCGGAGAGGCCACACGGAGCAUGAUGCCAUCUACGUGAAAUGCCCAGAACGGGAAAAUCCACAGAGGCAGGAGGCAGAUGAGUGGGUGCCAGGAGUGAGGGAGGGGGUGGGUGGGGGUGACUGCUAACAGGGGCGGGGUCUCCUUUGGGGAGGUGAUGGGUGCACACCGCACGUGUGAGUGCACAAAACGCUACCAAACUGUAUGCUUUAAAGGGGUUCAUUUCAUGGCAUAGAAGUUUCAUCUGAAUAAAAACAAAAAGCGGUUCAAACUCAAGAGAAGCAAGAUCCACCUGUCCCGGGGCGCCCCUGCCCGGCCAGCUUUUUUCCUCUCUGAGGCCUCUGUCUGCCUUCCCCCGUUCAAGUUCCUAGCCUCUGUGACUGUGCUAGGGAAGGGGCAUGGGGUCCAGCUCCAACCUGAGCUCAGCCUCCCUUUGUGUCCCUGGGCCUCAGUUUCUCCUUCUGGACAAGGGGCCCCUCCGCCCUCCUCGGCCUGGAGUUUGACCCUUGAGAUCCUGACGCAAGAUGGAGGUCAUGGCCACUCAGCUCCCUUGGCAGCUGGGGGAAAUAAACCAGUAAACCCAGUCUCGUUCCCCACGCUUUUAUUUAAAAAAAAAAAAAAAAAAAUCUGUAAAAAAGAGAACAAUUUAAGGCUUAUCAAAAAUGAUGAGUCCCAGGCGGGGGCCCCGCCCCCAGCUACGGCUGAGACUCUCCAACUGGGGGCUUGUCCAGCUGCCCCCUCACACUUUGUCCCUCCAGGAUACAGGAGGGCUCCAGAGGCUCACUGGUCCUCCUGUGUUACCCCAGGCUGACCUCUGACCCCAAGGUCUGGCUUAAUAUUCUGAACCGGGUUUCCCUGGUCAUACAAUACCCAGGCAAGUCGCAUGUCCUGGAGUACUUGGAGGAGCCCCCAGGCAGGCCCAGCCUAGGCCAGGAAUCUCUCUCUGGCUUUCAAAGGCUGGAGGGGGGCCGGGGUGGCUCAGUCGGUUAAGCGUUCGUUCAGCCCUUGAUCUCUGCUCAGGUCAUGACCUCACCAUCCGUGGGUUCAAGCCCCGAGCUGGGCUCUGCGCUGUCGGCACGGAGCCCGCUAGGGAUUCUCUCUCCUCUCCCUCUCUCUCUGCCCCUCCCCUGCUCGUGCGCUCUCUCAAAAUAAAUAAAUGCUUUUAAAAAACAAACAAAACAAAGGCUGGAGCAGUGGUCUCCUGCCACCCAUAAGCCCCACGGAGCUCCAAUGACCCGCUUCCCUGAAUGCCUCACUCUUGGGCCCUCUCGCCUGCCGGCCCUUGCCGUGUGGCCUCAACGGAGGCACUCGCUUUCUGAGCCCCAGUUCUAAGAUGAAGGGGGUGAUCUCCAAACAUCGCUCAGCUCUGACCUUCUCCGACUUCUUCCUCCUCCUGCUUGUCUGCCUGCUGGGCCGCUAUUCACACGCCACCGCCUCAGCCAGAACGCCCUCUGCUCCGGGAAGCCCUCUCUGCUCCCGUCUGGACUCUCCCGGUCCUGGGUCUCUUCCUCUGGUCCCACGGGACCGGAAGCGUUUACGUCUGGCGACGUCUCUCCCAGACCAGAGGCUCCCGGGGGACCCGAGCCCUGUCCACAGGCCGGCGUAGACAAGACGGGAUCCGACAAGGGGCAUCAGAUGCCUCGCGAGGGCCAGUCCACGUCAGUCAGGUUCCAGACUCUUCCCCCGUCCUGGGUUAUGUCGGAAAGCCCUGCCCUGUUCCGAGCCGCGGAUUCCCCAACAUCAGCGCAGUCCGGUCGGGCCGCUCUCGAUCCAGCCAUUCCCCAUGUCCACGGAGGCCGGAAGCCUGUGUGUACCCGCAUCCCUCGAGGUAUUCACUUGCCCCUCAGCAGGUCAUGGAGCGUGGCCUCAUGGCCUCUGAGGGUGGGUUUGGAUCCU